rnacentral:rRNA from 1 species
UGGGGAAUUUUGGACAAUGGGCGCAAGCCUGAUCCAGCCAUGCCGCGUGCGGGAAGAAGGCCUUCGGGUUGUAAACCGCUUUUGUCAGGGAAGAAAUCCUUUGAGUUAAUACCUCGGGGGAUGACGGUACCUGAAGAAUAAGCACCGGCUAACUACGUGCCAGCAGCCGCGGUAAUACGUAGGGUGCGAGCGUUAAUCGGAAUUACUGGGCGUAAAGCGUGCGCAGGCGGUCUUGCAAGACAGGUGUGAA